rnacentral:ncRNA from 1 species
AGAACGUCGUGAGACAGUUCGGUCCAUAUCCGGUGUGGGCGUUAGAGCAUUGAGAGGGCCUUUCCCUAGUACGAGAGGACCGGGAAGGACGCACCUCUGGUGUACCAGUUAUCGUGCCUACGGUAAACGCUGGGUAGCCAAGUGCGGAGAGGAUAACUGCUGAAAGCAUAUAAGUAGUAAGCCCACCCCAAGAUGAGUGCUCUCUCCU